GUGUGUGUGAUAUUAUAAGCAUGAGGCCGGGGCAGCAAUGAGGCGGAGGGAGGAACUUGAAAUUGUGGCCACCUGCAUUCAGGCAACCCACAUCCGGGGAGCUGGCUCUACUGGGUUUGCACUGUGCCUGAUAAGCAGCCAUGAAAGAACAACAAGCUGCAAGAUAGAACAUCUUUGAAAUGCAACCUCACUCCACCUCCCACCAAGGCCAGACUCCUCCUAAUAAAGAUUACCCUCAUCCCCUGAGAGGCACAACUUCUCUGACCUCUGUGGGGGUCAGUGAACUUCACCGGGGCGCAAUAAACUUUUUGCCUGUGAGAAAUUUAGCCUGGUUUUCCUUUUCUUUACCGCGCCAAUCCUUUCAUCUUGGUGCUGAACCCAGGAUGGCUGCAUCCCCUGGCGCUGAGGCCGCUUUCCUGUCCCAGGGACCUCUCUUCUCCAUUGCAGACGCCUCACAUCCACCACCGACCUUGAUUCCUGGGGACUGUGCCCCAUCUGCGGUGUCCAGGGUCACUGGAAAAGCGACUGUCCCUCUGUGCCUGGCUGUGGUGGGCCAGUCCUUCCGGCCCCUGUGAUCCUGCCACCGGCGGUCUUGGGUUUGGCAGCUGAGGACUGAAGAGGCCUGGACUCAUGGACCCUGAUAACUUUCGGGGAGCCCAGGGUAACAGUCAAAGUAGCAGUUCAUCCAAGCCGCAUUCGAGAGAUGACUCGCACCACCUUCAACCAACUACACCCUACUCAAGCCUCCCCACCAGUGAGCCAGGCCAUUGACCUUGCUUUUUGACCUCUCUUCCUCACAUUGCUCCACAUCAGCAGGAAGUAGCCAGAAAGAAUCCUUCACCCUUUAUCCUAUAACUAAAAGGUCAGAAUGUAAGGUCAUCGAUGAGGCAGAGGGAAGAACUAGAAACUGAGACCACCUGCAUCCCGGCAACCUGCAUCCUGGGAGUUGGCUCUACCUGGUUUGCACUGUGCCUGAUAAGCAGCCAUGAAAGAACAAGCGGCAAGAGAGAACAACUUUGUAAAGCAACCUUACUCCACCUCCCACCAAGGCCAGACUCCGUCCUAUAAAAGAUUACCCUGUGAGAAAUUUAGCCUGGCUC